rnacentral:rRNA from 1 species
UACGAGGGAUGCAAGCGUUAUCCGGAAUUAUUGGGCGUAAAGCGUUUGUAGGCGGGCGAGUGUGUUUAAUGUUAAAUCUUAAAGCUCAACUUUGAAAUUGCGUUAAAAACUGCUUGUCUUGAGUAUGGUAGGGGUAAAGGGAAUUCCCAGUGUAGCGGUGAAAUGCGUAGAUAUUGGGAAGAACACUAAACAGCGAAGGCACUUUACUAGGCUAAUACUGACGCUGAGAAACGAAAGGUAAGGUAGCGAAACGGAUUAGAUACCCGUGUAGUCUUACCCGUAAACUAUGGACACUAAACGGUAAAUUUUUAAUUUACUGUUAAAGCUAACGCGUUAAGUGUCCCGCCUGGGGAGUAUGCUUGCAAAAGUGAAACUCAAAGGAAUUGACGGGGGCCCGCACAAGCGGUGGAGCAUGUGGUUUAAUUCGACGGUACACGAAGAACCUUACCAGGAUUUGACAUGCUAGAUAGUUGCUUGAAAGAGUAACGUGCCGUAAGGAAUCUAGACACAGGUGGUGCAUGGCUGUCGUCAGUUCGUGUUGUGAAAUGUUGGGUUAAGUCCCGCAACGAACGCAACCCUUGUCUUUAGUUAUUUUCUAAAGAGACUGCCUGUAAUAAACAGGAGGAAGGUAAGGAUGAGGUCAAGUCAUCAUGCCCCUUAUGUCCUGGGCUACACACGUGCUACAAUGGGAAAGACAAUGAGCUGCAAAUCUGUAAAUUUAAGCAAAUCUCUUAAACUUUCUCGUAGUUCGGAUUGUGGGCUGCAACUCGCCCACAUGAAGUUGGAAUCGCUAGUAAUCGCCAGUCAGCUAUAUGGCGGUGAAUCCGUUCCCGGGCCU